ensembl:lncRNA
AAGGCAAAUUAUCACUAGGCAGAUUGUCAUUCAAAUGAAUGACAAAGAGACAACUUCAUGUUAAAAUUUGUAGGAUGCAACCGAAGCUUUACUGAGGGAAUUUAACUUCUUUCAGUAUAUGUAGAAAACAGGGAAAAUUCAAAGCGAGGAUUCAUUCUCACUUCCUUAUACUUAGUGCACUGCCUAUUCCUGGUAGGUUCCCAGUAAACAUCUGUUGAUCAGAGGAAUGAGAGAGUGAAUGAAUAAGCAUCCAACUGUAGUAUGUUGAGAUGCUCUAACAAAAUAAGUGCAAAGCCCAAGAAAACACCUUAAACUUUUUGAAGUGAAAAAGAUUGCACCCUAGAAAGAAAAAACUCAAGCAUCAUAAGUGACAAAGGAUAUGUAACUACAGAAAUGAAGGCGAUGGAGAAAUAAGCCAAUAUUGUUUGGCUGACACUGUUGGUUGCCUGUCCAUUGGUAUUAACCAUUCUCCCUUUGCCAGGAUUGCCUGCUGCCCACCUAAGUCUAAACGCCAGAUGCUUGCCCUCUAAUUGCUUUGCUGCUGGGCAUGUGUGUAACAGUCCCGGCCAUAGAAGAUCUAAGCAAAAAGUCUGCAGGUGAGCUUCAGUUAAAUAUUGUUUACUAACAAAAUAGGAGGAAAUGGUCUUCCUAUAAACAGGAUGCAUGUCUCUGUGUCUGUGUGAUACCUGGAAUUAUGGCCAUUUUACAACCAGGGGAGGCGAGAAACUGAGAUUGGCACAGGAAUAACUUGUGUCUUUGACAUUAUUGAGAUGAUGAAACAAUUCAGAACUGCCCUGUGCCCGGACGGGUGUGAACUAAGAAAUUCUGUGCCUAUCUGUUUUAAGUUUAUAUUCAACUUUAUAUAUCCGAGUCCUGGAAAAAAAUAUUUUCCUAUACAUACACGUUUAUUCUACUUUAGUAAGAUGAGAAAAUGUUUAUAUUCAGCUUUUUAUAGUGUAUGUGAAAUUAUAGAAAAAGCAUUAUUUUCUUAAACGUAUAUGUGUGUGUAUAUAUAUACAACUUUGAUUUGUUAAGAUGUAGGAAAUGUCUGUUUGCAUUUAGCGUCUCACAGUAUAUGUUUAUAUGCAGUUUUUUUUUUUUUUUUUUUUUUGCGUUAUGCGGGCCUCUCACUGCUGUGGCCUCUCCCGUUGCGGAGCACAGGCUCCGGACGCGCAGGCUCAGCGGCCAUGGCUCACGGGCCCAGCCGCUCCGCGGCAUGCGGGAUCCUCCCGGAUCGGGAUACGAACCCGCGUCCCCCGCAUCGGCAGGCGGACUCCCAACCACUGCGCCACCAGGGAAGCCCGCAGUUUUUUUAAGUAUGUCUGAAAUCCAGGAAAAGUAGUAGUUUCCUGAAUAUAGUAAGAACCAAGAAAAAACUAAUUAAAGAGCUACACCAUAUAAUUCCUCUAGUACUAGAGUAGAUAAAAUCUAAGAGUAUCAGCUAUGAGGCUAACACAACCCCUAUACCAAAUUUGGAAAAGGACAGCAUCCAGCUCAAAUCAGCUAUAAAAAGAAUCCAUUGUACUCAAUGGAAUAUGAGUAUUCCAAUUAAAAUAGCAAGUCAAAUCUAGCAGCCUAUUAAAAGAAAACAGAGGGGUUGUUUUGUCUAGAAUAAAAUGGUUCAUGACCUGAUCUGUCAGAUUGUAAAAAAUGUGAUGUAUAAAUGUAGUGUUUGCACGCUGAAAACUAGACACUAAAACAACUUAUCCACUGAAAGUAGUAAACUGUUAGCAGCAUAUGCAUAUUCACCUGCUGUGAGGUCACUGCAUUGCCCUGUUAAUCACACCUCAUGGGGUGUAAUCAGUCACAGCAUUUGGAAUAAUCACCAUCCGGUGUAUUCCACCUUUGCCCCACACUUUAGAAAAAUAUUACAUACUAAGUUUAAUGUAAACAUGUAUUAUGUGACAGAUUAAAUCGGUCAUAGCUAAAAAUCAACCCAUUGGAGGACAAUUUAUAACAAAAAUUUGAGCAUUUUUUUUAAAGAGGGAAAUGAUUACUAAAUUUUAUCUAUAUUUUCUCUACAAUUUCUAACAUUUUUUGAGUUAUAAUAAAUGUUAUAAUUAUAAUGAAUGUCAAGAAAUGAUUCUCUGUAGACUGGAGGUUGCCAAGGGGGAGGGGGAUGGGAGAGGGGUGGAUUGGACGUUCGGGAUUAGCAAAUGCAAACUGGUAUAUAUAGAAUGGAUAACAACAAGGUCCUACUGUAUAGCACAGGGAACUAUAUUCAAUAUCCUGUGAUAAACCAUAAUGGAAAAGAAUAUGAAAAAAUAUAUGUAUAACUGAGUCACUUUACAGCAUUAAUUAACACAACAUUGUAAUUGAACUAUACUUCAAUAAAUUUU